rnacentral:rRNA from 1 species
UACGUAGGGGGCAAGCGUUGUCCGGAAUUAUUGGGCGUAAAGAGCGUGUAGGCGGUCCGGUAAGUCAGCUGUGAAAGUCAAGGGCUCAACCCUUGAAAGCCGGUUGAUACUGUCGGGCUAGAGUCCGGAAGAGGCGAGUGGAAUUCCCAGUGUAGCGGUGAAAUGCGUAGAUAUUGGGAGGAACACCAGUGGCGAAGGCGGCUCACUGGACCGGAACUGACGCUGAGGCGCGAAAGCGUGGGGAGCAAACAGG